GUUGGGCGUGGUGGUGCAUGCCUGUAAUCCCAGCUACUCAGGAGGCUGAGGUGGGAGGAUCACUUGAGCCCAGGAGUUCUGGGCUAUAGUGUGCUAUGCUGAUCAGGUGUCCGCACUAAGUUUGGCAUCAAUAUGGUGACCUCCUGGGAGCAGGGGACCACCAGUUUGCCUAAGGAGGGGUGAACCGGCCCAGGUCAGAAAUGGAGCAAGUCGAAACUCCUGUGCCGAUAAGUAGUGGGAUCGCCACUGAACUCCAGCCUGGGCAACAUAGUGAGACGUCGUCUCUU
ensembl:misc_RNA Metazoa_SRP Metazoan signal recognition particle RNA